GACGAACGCUGGCGGCGUGCUUAACACAUGCAAGUCGAACGGAAAGGCCCUGCUUUUGUGGGGUGCUCGAGUGGCGAACGGGUGAGUAACACGUGAGUAACCUGCCCUUGACUUUGGGAUAACUUCAGGAAACUGGGGCUAAUACCGGAUAGGAGCUCCUGCUGCAUGGUGGGGGUUGGAAAGUUUCGGCGGUUGGGGAUGGACUCGCGGCUUAUCAGCUUGUUGGUGGGGUAGUGGCUUACCAAGGCUUUGACGGGUAGCCGGCCUGAGAGGGUGACCGGCCACAUUGGGACUGAGAUACGGACCAGACUCCUACGGGAGGCAGCAGUGGGGAAUAUUGCACAAUGGGCGGAAGCCUGAUGCAGCAACGCCGCGUGCGGGAUGACGGCCUUCGGGGUGUGAACCGCUUUCGCCUGUGACGAAGCGUGAGUGACGGUAAUGGGUAAAGAAGCACCGGCUAACUACGUG
rnacentral:rRNA from 1 species